rnacentral:sRNA from 1 species
AGUAGCGGUGAAUCUAGUAAAGCUAGAUUUAAAACUGUGAUAUAAUAAAAAGAGAAGAAAUAUGACUGUACGUCAUCAGAAGUUUCAGCGACCAUCAUUUUUGAACAGUGAUAGCACUUGAAUCGACGCUUUCUAAGGAGAAUUCUAGUAGGUAUACCAGUCGUUUCAAGAUAAGGAAUUUUAGAAGGUUUUUGAAAGUCAUAUUUCUUCAAUUGG